AUCAUGGGGACCAAGAUUUUUCUCCUCCUCUGGUAUCUGCAAAAAAUAAAAUAAAAUAGAUGCAGUAGUAAGCAAGUAGACAAGACUAACUUAUGCCAUAAAUAUCAUCAUUAAUUGCCCAGAUUGAACUGUCUAAAGCAGAGAGGUCAGUGGAACAGAAGGCCUAACAAUUAAAGCUGACACACGAAAGCAUAGCAAUCAAAUUAAAACCCAGACCUUAGAUUCUCCAUUUUGAAAGAGGGUGGGGGAGGAAUGGAAUAUUAAUUCAAAUCUCUGCUUAAAGUUUCAAAACCUCACCAGUUUUCUUUAUUUUAGUUGGAAAAAAGAAGAGGGUAAAAAANNNNNNNNNNNNNNNNNNNNNNNNNUCAUGGGGACCAAGAUUUUUCUCCUCCUCUGGUAUCUGCAAAAAAUAAAAUAAAAUAGAUGCAGUAGUAAGCAAGUAGACAAGACUAACUUAUGCCAUAAAUAUCAUCAUUAAUUGCCCAGAUUGAACUGUCUAAAGCAGAGAGGUCAGUGGAACAGAAGGCCUAACAAUUAAAGCUGACACACGAAAGCAUAGCAAUCAAAUUAAAACCCAGACCUUAGAUUCUCCAUUUUGAAAGAGGGUGGGGGAGGAAUGGAAUAUUAAUUCAAAUCUCUGCUUAAAGUUUCAAAACCUCACCAGUUUUCUUUAUUUUGUUGAAAAAAGAGAGGUAAAAAAACCAGAAGGAGAUGAGGAAAAGAGAAAAAAGAAGAAACCAGCCAGACAAUACCUAGAGAACUAACCUCC
rnacentral:lncRNA from 1 species